rnacentral:rRNA from 1 species
CCUACGGGAGGCAGCAGUGAGGAAUAUUGGUCAAUGGACGAGAGUCUGAACCAGCCAAGUCGCGUGAGGGAUGACUGCCCUAUGGGUUGUAAACUUCUUUUAUAAAGGAAUAAAACGAGGCACGUGUCCCUUUUUGCAGGUACUUUAUGAAUAAGGAUCGGCUAACUCCGUGCCAGCAGCCGCGGUAAUACGGAGGAUCCGAGCGUUAUCCGGAUUUAUUGGGUUUAAAGGGAGCGUAGAUGGGUUGUUAAGUCAGUUGUGAAAGUUUGCGGCUCAAACGUAAAAUUGCAAUUGAUACUGGCAGUCUUGAGUACAGUGGAGGUAGGCGGAAUGCGUGGUGUAGCGGUGAAAUGCUUAGAUAUCACGAAGAACCCCGAUUGCGAAGGCAGCUUACUAAACUGUGACUGACAUUGAGGCUCGAAAGUGUGGGGAUCAAACAGGAUUAGAUACCCUUGUAGUC